AGCAGUGUGGCUUAGUGGUUAAGUGUUGGACUACAACUCUGGAGACCAGGAUUCGAUUUCCCCCUGGGCCA